GUAUCUCUAUUUACUAAUGAGAAACAGGCAAGAAAAAGGAGAUUCCAUCAUUCCCUUUAGGUUAAAUUAGAAACAAGGACCAGAGUCUUGGAAUCUAAGGAGAGAAAGAAUGACAACUUUUACUUCAGCUAGAAAUGACAGUCCACUACAAUUCACCACCAUCCAAGUGCAAAACAUCCUACAAGAGAUUGAUUGUACAAGUGACAUCUGAGAAACUGUGAAAGAUUAUAACAUUUUUUGGCCAUAUAAAAAAUAUGAGAUUUCUGUGGAAGGAGGAGAAUGGCCUCUAUAUUGAAUUCUGAACCGAAGGCAAAGCAGCAUUAUUUUCAGAUCCAUUUUACUUCAAAGAGUCUGUUGCAAGCAGAUGGUCUCUGUAAACAUGACUGAUAUUUCAUCUUCAGUACACAGUGGUUAGUAGGGACAGAAAUUACAAGUGAUCACAG